rnacentral:rRNA from 1 species
GAAGAACGCUAGCGGCAGGCCUUAUACAUGCAAGUCGAGGGGCAGCAUUUACUUCGGUAAAUGGCGACCGGCGCACGGGUGAGUAACGCGUAUGCAACCUACCUUUAACUGGGGCAUAGCUCGAGGAAACUCGAAUUAAUUCCCCAUAGUACAUUAUAAUAUCUCAUGAUAUAAAUGUUAAAGAUUUAUCGGUUAAAGAUGGGCAUGCGUCUGAUUAGUUUGUUGGUAAGGUAACGGCUUACCAAGACUACGAUCAGUAGGGGGUCUGAGAGGAUGAUCCCCCACACUGGUACUGAGACACGGACCAGACAUCUACGGAUGGCAGCAGUAAGGAAUAUUGGGCAAUGGGCGCAAGCCUGACCCAGCCAUGCCGCGUGCAGGAUGACGACCCUAUGGGUUGUAAACUGCUUUUAUAUAGGAAGAAAAUACUCUUGCGAGAGGAUCUGACGGUACUAUAUGAAUAAGGACCGGCUAACUCCGUGCCUGCGACA